UACAGAGGUCUCAAGCGUUGUUCGGAUUCAUUGGGCGUAAAGGGCGCGUAGGCGGCGGGGUCAGUCGGGUGUGAAAUCUUGGGGCUUAACCCCGAAACGGCACUCGAAACUGCCCGGCUGGAGGGCCGGAGAGGAGAUCGGAAUUCACGGUGUAGCAGUGAAAUGCGUAGAGAUCGUGAGGAAGACCCGUGGCGAAGGCGGAUCUCUGGACGGCUAACUGACGCUGAGGCGCGAAGGCCAGGGGAGCAGACGGG
rnacentral:rRNA from 1 species